UAGGGAAUCUUCCACAAUGGACGAAAGUCUGAUGGAGCAACGCCGCGUGAGUGAAGAAGGGUUUCGGCUCGUAAAAGCUCUGUUGGUAGUGAAGAAAGAUAGAGGUAGUAACUGGCCUUUAUUUGACGGUAAUUACUUAGAAAGUCACGGCUAACUACGUGCC
rnacentral:rRNA from 1 species